UUUCAAGCUGCGCGGAGUUGACCAGUUUCACACUGUCCUAUCUUGCUAUUCCACUAGGGCCUGUUGAGAUUUCUGAUGCACUAUUUCAGCACACCAUUAUGAAGCUCCCAUUUGCUGAAUCAGAACUGCUUUUGUACAUCAGCCGUGCACAUGAACGAGCAAAGCAAGCAGGUUCUGAGCAAAGCAAGAGGUGCGGAAGUCUCAUUGAAGGAGACGAAGGCGAACGCUCAGCGCUCUGUUCGGCUCAGCCCAAACGCAAAACAGCGGCUGGAACAGCUCUGGUCAGAACAGACUGCUUAGCUCCUCCUUGGCCUUUCAGGACUUCAGCGGUCGCUCUCAAUGCCAGCCAGCAUCGUUCAGCUAUGACAAAGACAGAAUGCAGUUUUGCCCGCUGUUGA
rnacentral:lncRNA from 1 species